rnacentral:rRNA from 1 species
CUUGGCUCUCAGAGGCGAUGAAGGACGCGAUAAGCUGCGAUAAGCUUCGGGUAAGUGCAAAUAACUUUUAAUCCGAAGAUUUCCGAAUGGGGCAACCCAGCUGGUUGAAGACCAGUUAUCCCGCAAGGGAAGCAAACCCGGUGAACUGAAACAUCUAAGUAGCCGGAGGAAGAGAAAAUAAUAAUGAUUCCCCAAGUAGUGGCGAGCGAACGGGGAACAGCCCAAACCAAAGUUGUUACGGCAAUUUUGGGGUUGUAGGACUACAAUAUUGACUUCAGUUUAUUAGUGGAAGGUUUUGGAAAUUUCCGCCAUAGAGGGUGAUAGCCCCGUACACGAAAGUAAACUGAUACAUAGUAGUAUCCUGAGUAGCGCGGGACCGGUGAAAUCCUGUGUGAAUCUGCCAGCACCAUCUGGUAAGGCUAAAUACUCCUGAGAGACCGAUAGUGAACUAGUACCGUGAGGGAAAGGUGAAAAGUACCCUGAACAAGGGAGUGAAAUAGAACCUGAAACCGGAUGCCUACAAACAGUUGAAGCCCAAGGU